rnacentral:tRNA from 1 species
CAAAUUAAAGUUAUUUAAUAAUUUACUUUUUACAUGAGUAGGGAACUGGUUUAUCAGUUAAUUUGA